rnacentral:rRNA from 2 species
CUAGAACGGAUCCGACGGUCAGGGACGAAGCCUAGGGGCACGAACCGGAUUAGAUACCCGGGUAGUCCUAGGUGUAAACGCUGUGGACUUGGUGUUGGGGAAGCCCAGAGCUUUCCCAGUGCCGUAGCGAAGGUGUUGAGUCCACUGCCUGGGGAGUACGGUCGCAAGGCUGAAACUUAAAGGAAUUGGCGGGGGAGCACUGCAACCGGAGGAGUGUGCGGUUUAAUUGGAUUCAACGCCGGAAAACUCACCAGCAUCGACGGACAAAUGAAAGCCAACUUAACGAGUUUGCUGGAUUGUUCGAGAGGUCGUGCAUGGCCGCCGUCAGUUCGUACCGUAAGGCGUUCUGUUAAGUCAGAUAACGAACGAGACCCUCAUCCUUAUUUGCCACCCUAUCGCUUGCGAUAGGACGGGACUAUAAGGAGACCGCUGGCGCUAAGUCAGAGGAAGGCGAGGGCAACGGUAGGUCAGUAUGCGCCGAAUAUGCUGGGCUACACGCGCACUACAAAGGAUGGGACAAUGAGCAGCUACACCGAGAGGUGAUGCGAUCCCGAAACCCAUUCGUAGUUCGGAUCGAGGGCUGUAACUCGCCCUCGUGAAGCUGGAUUCGGUAGUAAUCGCGUCUCAAAAAGGCGCGGUGAAUAUGCCCCUGCUCCUUGCACACACCGCCCGUCAAACCAUCUUAGUUGGGGGUGGAUGAGGCUGCGUCCCUAGGGCGUAUUCGAGUCUGCCUUCGACAAGGAGGGUUAAGUCGUAACAAGGUAUCUGUAGGGGAACCUGCAGAUGGAUCACCUCCUAU